AUGGGGAGCACGGCGGGCGAGGUCACCCGCGCCGACUUCCCCGAGGGCUUCGUCUUCGGCGUCGCCACCUCCGCCUACCAGAUUGAGGGGGCAAGAAAUGAAGGUGGCAAAGGUGAUAGCAUAUGGGAUGUAUUUACAGAUAACAAAGAACGUGUCCUAGACGGAUCCUCUGGAGAAGUUGCAGUUGAUCAUUACCAUCGAUACAAGGAAGACAUUGAGCUCAUGGCCAAGUUGGGUUUUGGUGCUUAUAGAUUUUCCAUAUCUUGGUCACGGAUAUUUCCUGAUGGCUUAGGGACAGCGAUCAAUGAGCAAGGAGUUGCUUUCUAUAACAACCUUAUAGAUUUCAUGAUUGAGAAAGGUAUUCAGCCUUAUGCAACUCUGUAUCACUGGGAUCUUCCGCAUAAUCUUCAGAAGACUAUGGGGGGUUGGCUUUCGGACAAGAUUGUGGAGUACUUCGCAUUAUAUGCAGAAGCUUGCUUUGCAAAUUUUGGAGAUAGAGUUAAGCAUUGGAUAACAAUCAAUGAACCUAUUCAAACAUGCAUUAAUGCUUAUGCGGUUGGAAUAUUUGCUCCUGGAUUAUGUAAAGGUGUAGCUGCUGAACCUUUCUUGGCUGGCCAUCACCAGAUCUUAGCUCAUGCUGCUGCUGUUGAUGUCUACAGAAGAAAAUUCAAGGCUAAGCAAGGUGGUCAAGUAGGGUUUGUUAUUGAUUGUGAAUGGGCGGAGCCAAUGUCGGACAAAAUGGAAGACCAGGCUGCUGCAGCACGGCGCAUUGACUUUCAACUUGGAUGGUUCCUGGACCCAAUAUACUUUGGUGAUUACCCAGAAAGCAUGCGCCAGAGAGUGGGUGAAUAUCUUCCAAAAUUCUCGGAGAAAGACCGUGAAUUGAUGAGGAACAAAAUUGAUUUUAUUGGAUUAAAUCACUAUACAACAAGAAUCAUUGGCAAUCGGCCUAACCCACAACCACAAGAGAUCCAUUUUUAUCAGGUUGAACAAAUAGAGAGAUCAGAAAAAUGGAGUAGCGGUGAAGCAAUUGGUGAAAGAGCUGCGUCUGAGUGGCUUUUAAUAGUUCCUUGGGGUAUUCGGAAAACAAUCAAUUAUAUAGUAAAAAAAUAUGAAAAUCCAAUAAUAUAUAUAACAGAGAAUGGCAUGGAUGACGAAGACGAUCCAUCAGCACCAGUUGAUCAGUUCUUAAAUGACACAAAGAGGGUCAAUUUCUUCAAAGGAUAUGUUGGUGCAGUCGCACAAGCAAUAAAGGAUGGUGCCGAUGUUCGUGGAUACUUUGCAUGGUCAUUCGUGGAUAACUUUGAGUGGGCGAUGGGAUUCACCAAGAGGUUUGGGAUUGUCUAUGUUGAUUACAAGAACGGGCUCUCCCGGCGCCCUAAAGCAUCAGCCAUGUGGUUCUCGCGCUUCUUGAACGGCGAGGCCGCUGACAGCAAACCUGACACAAACUAA
rnacentral:rRNA from 1 species